CUCACAGUUACUCUGGUCUUAUUGAAGUCCGCGUCGCAUGUUGACUUUUUUUUACACGUUGUAUAAAUAUUGUUUUGAGUUCUUUUUAAAAUAUAAUUAAACACGAUGGCAAUAGUUGAUCUCAGAUAUAAGCUUUUGUACCCGGAGUGUUUGUAAAACACACGAAUCAGUUUGUUCAUUGUUUUAAUACUCACAGGGUCAUUCUCUCUCAACUAACAUUUAGAUUUGGAGAUUUUCAAAUUACAAGACUUUGAUAUGACGCUCGUAAAAGACGUGACGGAAUUGUACUCCAGCAGCAGGCUACAGAAGAUAAAUUUAAGAAAUUAAAGUGAUUUCAAGGCACAGGCUCAACAUCGCUCCACCAAUCACAGAAAACACCACCCAUCGCAGCAGAUACGGGCAAGGACAGCUUAUAGGCAAAAAUAAUGGCUUCCUUUGUGGCUUUUACAAGGGGGGGGCCCCUCGGGUUCUCGCCACGAAAUGGAGUCCGGCAACGUGGUCCUUCGGCUCUCCCGCUGCUUUCAGCUGUGGCUCCGUAGGACACAAUAACCGCCUGCCCUGCAUAAAACAGCUGUUUCUCCUUGGCAUGUCGUGUUAGCGAGCGCUCGUUUUUCAUUGGCUGCUGGCAGCGCCUCGCAGCCCAUGAAACCUGACGCUGAACAGGAAUUGGUGAAAAUGCCGAGCCUACUCUGCGCUCCCAGCUCAUAAGGCAUUCAAAACAGCAAUUAUCACCGGCUGUAGGACUCAAAGCACAUUCUACGCGUUUUAAGGUGUUAGGGCAGCAUUUGUCCAAGAGGAAUAUUAAACUCUCAAUGUUAAUUAAAAGCACUAAAUUAGGGAUAACAUGAUAGAUGCAGAAUAGGCAUGUUUAAGCCAUUCCUAGAUGGAAAAUGGCCCUGGAACCACUGAAAAUACAUGAAUAUACUUCCUUAUUUUAUUUUCAGCAUUCAACCCCUUUAAGAAUCCAGGCAUUCCUCUGAAUGUAUAUACGCCUGACUGUGUUGGAAAAAAUGUUAUCCAGCAAGGUAAAAAAAAUCUCAUAUUGUUCAACAACAUGCAAAUGAGUGUUCAAAAUAAAAGCAUAUUGUACCUUUUUUUCUUGAACUUGCAAAAGUAUGCCUAACAAGUGAAAUAAAGUUUAAACAAACA